rnacentral:rRNA from 1 species
GACGAACGCUGGCGGCGUGCUUAACACAUGCAAGUCGAGCGGUAAGGCCCUUCGGGGUACACGAGCGGCGAACGGGUGAGUAACACGUGGGUGACCUGCCCUCAGCUCUGGGAUAAGCCCGGGAAACUGGGUCUAAUACCGGAUAUGACUCCACGGUGCAUGUCGUGGGGUGGAAAGCCUUGUGCGGCUGAGGAUGGGCCCGCGGCCUAUCAGCUUGUUGGUGGGGUGAUGGCCUACCAAGCGACGACGGGUAGCCGGCCUGAGAGGGCGACCGGCCACACUGGGACUGAGACACGGCCCAGACUCCUACGGGAGGCAGCAGUGGGGAAUCUUGCGCAAUGGGCGAAAGCCUGACGCAGCGACGCCGUGUGA